rnacentral:rRNA from 1 species
UACAGAGGGGGCAAGCGUUGUUCGGAAUUACUGGGCGUAAAGGGCGCGUAGGCGGCCUGUUAAGUCGAACGUGAAAUCCCCGGGCUCAACCCGGGAACUGCGUCCGAUACUGGCAGGCUUGAAUUCGGGAGAGGGAUGUGGAAUUCCAGGUGUAGCGGUGAAAUGCGUAGAUAUCUGGAGGAACACCGGUGGCGAAGGCGGCCUUCUGGACAGUGACUGACGCUGAGACGCGAAAGCGUGGGGAGCAAACAGG